CCAAAGGUGGCCUCUACAUGUAAGCUAUCGCGUUGGGAUGGGCCCAGUUAGGAUUAGCUAGUUGGUAAGGUAAUGGCUUACCAAGGCGACGAUCNUUAGCUGGUUUGAGAGGAUGAUCAGCCACACUGGGACUGAGACACGGCCCAGACUCCUACGGGAGGCAGCAGUGGGGAAUAUUGCACAAUGGGGGAGACCCUGAUGCAGCCAUGCCGCGUGUGUGAAGAAGGCCUUCGGGUUGUAAAGCACUUUCAGCAGUGAGGAAGGUGGUGUACUUAAUAGGUGCAUGGCUUGACGUUAGCUGCAGAAGAAGCACCGGCUAACUCCGUGCCAGCAGCCGCGGUAAUACGGAGGGUGCGAGCGUUAAUCGGAAUUACUGGGCGUAAAGCGCAUGCAGGCGGUUUGUUAAGUCAGAUGUGAAAGCCCGGGGCUCAACCUCGGAACCGCAUUUGAAACUGGCAGGCUAGAGUCUUGUAGAGGGGGGUAGAAUUUCAGGUGUAGCGGUGAAAUGCGUAGAGAUCUGAAGGAAUACCAGUGGCGAAGGCGGCCCCCUGGACAAAGACUGACGCUCAGAUGCGAAAGCGUGGGUAGCAAACAG
rnacentral:rRNA from 1 species